GAUGAACGCUGGCGGCGUGCCUAAUACAUGCAAGUCGAACGGAGGAUGUAGCAAUACUUCCUUAGUGGCGAACGGGUGAGUAACGCGUUGGUGACCUGCCCCGAAGAGGGGGAUAACAGUUCGAAAGAAUUGCUAAUACCCCAUGUGGUCAUCAGGGUUUGAGUCCUGAUGAUUAAAGGAGAAAUUCACUUCGGGAGGGGCCUGCGUCCCAUCAGCUAGUUGGUAGGGUAAUGGCCUACCAAGGCGAUGACGGGUAGGGGACCUGAGAGGGUGGCCCCCCACAAUGGAACUGAGACACGGACCAGACUCCUACGGGAGGCUG
rnacentral:rRNA from 1 species